rnacentral:rRNA from 1 species
AUUGAACGCUGGCGGCAGGCUUAACACAUGCAAGUCGAGCGGGGUGAUGGUGCUUGCACUAUCACUUAGCGGCGGACGGGUGAGUAAUGCUUAGGAAUCUGCCUAUUAGUGGGGGACAACAUCUCGAAAGGGAUGCUAAUACCGCAUACGUCCUACGGGAGAAAGCAGGGGAUCACUUGUGACCUUGCGCUAAUAGAUGAGCCUAAGUCGGCUUAGCUAGUUGGUGGGGUAAAGGCCUACCAAGGCGACGAUCUGUAGCGGGUCUGAGAGGAUGGUCCGCCACACUGGGACUGAGACACGGCCCAGACUCCUACGGGAGGCGGCAGUGGGGAAUAUUGGACAAUGGGGGGAACCCUGAUCCAGCCAUGCCGCGUGUGUGAAGAAGGCCUUAUGGUUGUAAAGCACUUUAAGCGAGGAGGAGGCUCUUUUGGUUAAUACCCAAGAUGAGUGGACGUUACUCGCAGAAUAAGCACCGGCUAACUCUGUGCCAGCCGCCGCCGUAAAAC